UAGAAGGUGUUUGGGUUGGGCUUAGUGUCUAUCCCACGUUGGGUUCCCUGUCUUAAUUCCCGUUUUACAGAUGAGCUGAGUGAGGCACGGAGAAGCAAAGCGGGAAUGAGUGAGGGCUGGUGGUAUCACGGGGAGUCGAGCUGAUGUCUGGCAGCUGGCAUUCUUACUGUUCGGAGAAAGAAAAUCCCGGCUCUUUGGAGACCUAUUCAUGGCAAACUGACAUCCUCCACCCUUCCCUUCUCUUCCCCUCCCAUUCUCUCUCCCCUGCAAGACCUCUGAACAAGAAAAGGCAAUAAAUAAAUACAGUAGGUGAGAUCUGUGCUCAAAUAAA